AUUUUAUCUUUGGUCUCAAUUGACCAACUGAGUACUUUAUUAUUUUUACCACUUUUUUGCUUCUAUUUUGGAUACAUUGUUGUAGAACAACUACAAAUGUAGCGUUCAAAGUGCCUCUCUUUUGUAAGAUUUUUUAGUGCUUGUGUUGUGUAUAACCUGCAAGUGUACGGAUCGUACCAAGCAGUAUAAAAGAUAGCAUUCCCACAAGGACUGCGUUGAGUACUGAACUGCGAGUUUGCGACAAUUCUAAUUAUCUAGACGAUCAAUUUCAAUUUGGUAAUAAGAAGUAAACUAAAUAUUGCCAAAAUAAA
rnacentral:misc_RNA from 1 species